rnacentral:rRNA from 1 species
UACAGAGGGUGCGAGCGUUGUUCGGAAUUAUUGGACGUAAAGGGCGCGUAGGCGGCGCCACAAGUCACUUGUGAAAACUCUGGGCUCAACCCAGAGCCUGCAGGCGAAACUGUGGUGCUGGAGUAUGGGAGAGGUGCGUGGAAUUCCCGGUGUAGCGGCGAAAUGCGUAGAUAUCGGGAGGAACACCUGUGGCGAAAGCGGCGCACUGGACCAUAACUGACGCUGAGACACGAAAGCGUGGGUAGCAAACAGG